UGUAGGGGUCCGUGUCUUUUGAGAGACUCCGUAGUCUUCGUGUGAGACCGUGAUUUCAUCAGUUCUAUUUAUAGCGUGUAGCGACAUGUCACCGCUAUUCAUCCACAUGUAGUGCAAAUAGUUCCUUUGAGGAAAAGUAAUUAUUUAAAACAGUUUGGACGCAUCAAUCCUGAAUUCACUUAUUUGUAAACUUCUAUUAAUGUGGGAGAUUGUAUCCUGUAACUGUUAGAGACACUUUUGCUGAGCUAAUAGUAUCAGGAGAGGGGUUGUGAGGCGCAUUAAUCUACAUGUGUUUUGCCAUCUUGGAAAGUGAUGAGCAAUACCGUCCUUUUCGGAUCAGCUGCCAAUGUGUUGGCGAGUUUGAUGCCAUAACACAACCCAGCUUGGCGUUCGGGGAAAUUUGAAGUUGAGGAAAUUUAGCAAUUUAUAAGGGAAAUUUAGGGAAAUUAAGCAACAGUUGAACGUAACGGCAUUUUGUACUGGAAUUUAAGUUAAUUGACAAUUGUAGACCACGCAAAUUCUAUACCCUAGCUCCUGUAACACUGGUUUAUUUCAUAUAACACUACUUGCCAUUGUGGGAACUGAUUGUCAUUUAUUUCAUUCUGCUUUGUUUAUAUAAAAUCAGACAUCAAUUAAAAUAAUUUGAUAUUCCAAUCUGAGAAGUGAAA